AAUUAAGUGACUGAAAAUAAUCAACUUUUAUAAUCUCACAGUUUCUGUGGGCCAGGAACCCAGGAAUGUCUUAGGUAGGUGGCUCUGGCUUGGGGUCUCUGACGGGGCUGUGCUCAAGCUGUCAGGGCUGCAGACGUCGGAAGGGUUGGCUGGGGCUGGAGGAUCCACUUCCAAGAUGCUCCCUCACGUGCCAUUGGCAGGAGGUCUCAGCUGCCCACUUUGGGGGGCUCUCCACAGAGCUGCUUGAGGAUCUUCACAACAUGGCAGCUGGCUUCCUCCAGAGUGAUCUGAGGGGGUGAGGAGGGGAGGGAGAGACAGGGAGACAGGGAGACAGAGAGAGGGCAUGCGCAAGGAGAAGUCCAGGUGCUUUUUAUGUCCUAAUUCCAGAGGUCAUACACCAUUAUUCUGCUCAUUAGAAGUGAGUUACUAAGAGUAGCCCACGAUCCAGGGGAAAGGAACCAGGUCAGACUUUGUCUUCAUGUCCCAAGUACCCAUCAGAGAAGGAAUCCCCAGCUAAAUGUUUGUAGGAAGAGCAGGGGCACCUCCGAGACUCCUUGGCAAUCAGCAUAGCUGCCUUCCUUCCAGUUAUCUUUGCCCAACUCGUAGAUAGAGGGGCAGGACCUUGAUGGGAGAACCCCUAGGUCAGGGAGGGCAUACUGCAUUCCCAGGGGCGUGACACCACAACACAGUGGCCUCUUAGCUUUUGCCAUUUAUCACCCUCUGGGAGGGCGCUGGGGUGCUCUCCAGCUCUCUGUUUUCCUGAGGGCAGUGUAGGUGCCAGGGUCUUCCCUGGGGGAGCCAGGGUGAGGUGAGAGCAGCUGUAGUGAUCAAUGAAGGAAUUGACAUGAGUGCUGGGACAGCUGGUAGGCAUCCAGGAUGUGGUCCUACCUUCCUCCUCCCACCCCCCGCACAGCCCCGUCAGAGUCCUUCACACUCGGGUCCCAGUGAUGGGACCUAGGAAGAGCCCAUGAACAUGUGGUACUGUGGCCAGGGACCAGGAUGGGAGCGGAUCUGAGAAAGCCCUCCCUCAGAAGUUCUGAAGAGUAGAGUUGGGAUCCUGUUGGCCCUUCAUCAGGCGUGAGCAUGAACAUCCAGCCCAUGUACCUGGGGGAGAGCGCCCCUAAGGAGCUCCGAGGAGCUGUGGCCAUGAGCUCAGGCAUCUUUACGGCUCUGGGGAUCGUGAUGGGACAGGUGGUCGGACUCAGGUAAGCACCCCUCCCCCACAUGCAUUGAGUAUUUCGGAGAUACCAGUAAAAGCGUUUCUUCACCUAAAUGUCUCCCCUACCCACUAGUAGAUUAAAGCAUUAUUGCUUUGCAUGAAGGCAUCGAAUCCUCUAUCCACAUCUCUGCUGCCAAUUCACGAAAUGGGUAUCAGUCAACACACUGCAAUGUGAAUCACCUUUUCCCAUCCUCUCCAGGUCAGGGAGCAAAGAACAGGUCUUCACAGAGGAGAGGGUGAAGAUUUGGGCUUUCAAAGACAAACGUGUUCCAGUCAUUCCAGAAAAAAGAGGAGAAGGCAGAGCCUGGACCCUUGGGAAGAGGAGUUGCUAGGGAUGAGGUGGGGCAGUGGCCCUGUCCUCUCUUGGUCCCAACCUGGGUGGGAGGGAUCUUGAUGUUCAGACCCAGACUUGGAUAGGAAGAGGCACGGGGCAAUUGCAGACUCUCUGCAGGGAGGUGUGUAGGUGGGCAGGAGAGCAGGGUGGUAGGACUCUGGCAAACAGACAUCUGGCCUGGCCUCUCCUCUGCCUCCUUAGGGAGCUCCUAGGUGGCCCUCAGGCCUGGCCCCUGCUGCUGGCCAGCUGCCUGGUGCCCGGGGCGCUCCAGCUCGCCUCCCUGCCUCUGCUCCCUGAAAGCCCGCGCUACCUCCUCAUUGACUGUGGAGACACCGAGGCCUGCCUGGCAGGUGAGUCUCUGUCCUUGGGCUCCCAGACUGCCCUUGACCAAGGGGUGCAUCUCCCCAG
rnacentral:lncRNA from 1 species